rnacentral:rRNA from 1 species
AUGGCUCAGGACGAACGCUGGCGGCGUGCUUAACACAUGCAAGUCGAACGAUGAAGCCCUUCGGGGUGGAUUAGUGGCGAACGGGUGAGUAACACGUGGGCAAUCUGCCCUUCACUCUGGGACAAGCCCUGGAAACGGGGUCUAAUACCGGAUAACACUCCUGCCCGCAUGGGCGGGGGUUAAAAGCUCCGGCGGUGAAGGAUGAGCCCGCGGCCUAUCAGCUUGUUGGUGGGGUAAUGGCCUACCAAGGCGACGACGGGUAGCCGGCCUGAGAGGGCGACCGGCCACACUGGGACUGAGACACGGCCCAGACUCCUACGGGAGGCAGCAGUGGGGAAUAUUGCACAAUGGGCGAAAGCCUGAUGCAGCGACGCCGCGUGAGGGAUGACGGCCUUCGGGUUGUAAACCUCUUUCAGCAG